rnacentral:rRNA from 1 species
CAGCGCCGCGGUAAUACGUAGGUCCCGAGCGUUGUCCGGAUUUAUUGGGCGUAAAGCGAGCGCAGGCGGUUAGAUAAGUCUGAAGUUAAAGGCUGUGGCUUAACCAUAGUACGCUUUGGAAACUGUUUAACUUGAGUGCAAGAGGGGAGAGUGGAAUUCCAUGUGUAGCGGUGAAAUGCGUAGAUAUAUGGAGGAACACCGGUGGCAAAAGCGGCUCUCUGGCUUGUAACUGACGCUGAGGCUCGAAAGCGUGGGGAGCAAACAGGAUUAGAUACCCCAGUAGUCCCUGUCUCUUAUACAC